GACGAGCUGCUGUAGCUGUGAGGCAACGGGAGUGCCGAUCUGAGAGCAGUCUCGGAGGCCGGCUGAGGAGAGCUGCAGCUCUGGGCUCUGAGUGAGGACAGGCUGCUAGCCGGCGGGUGCUGUAGAGGAGGGAGAGCAAGCAAGAGCCUAAUGAGAUGUCUAUCGCCUCCGUCUAGACUGGACCGCUCCUUUCAGCAAAGAAUCACCACCACUACCACACCACACUGCACUGUACUACACACUGUACCCUGUCUGCCUGCCUGCUGCUGCUGCUGAGGGAAUAGCGAAAGGCAAGUCUCCAGCACAAGUGAUGCUUCCCGACAUAUGUGAAAGUCCAUUUUUUUCCCCUUCUUUUUUAUUCGAACAGCCCACUCUUUCUGCCUCCCGC